rnacentral:rRNA from 1 species
AACGAACGCUGGCGGCAGGCCUAACACAUGCAAGUCGAACGCCCCGCAAGGGGAGUGGCAGACGGGUGAGUAACGCGUGGGAAUCUACCCAGUGGUACGGAACAACCAAGGGAAACUUUGGCUAAUACCGUAUACGUCCUUCGGGAGAAAGAUUUAUCGCCAUUGGAUGAGCCCGCGUCGGAUUAGGUAGUUGGUGAGGUAACGGCUCACCAAGCCUACGAUCCGUAGCUGGUCUGAGAGGAUGAUCAGCCACAUUGGGACUGAGACACGGCCCAAACGCCUACGGGAGGCAGCAGUGGGGAAUAUUGGACAAUGGGCGCAAGCCUGAUCCAGCCAUGCCGCGUGAGUGAUGACGGCCCUAGGGUUGUAAAGCUCUUUCGGCGGGGAAGAUAAUGACUGUACCCGCAGAAGAAGCCCCGGCUAACUUCGUGCCAGCCGCCGCGGUAA